ACCCCCUCACUGCCGCCAACACGAAGCUCCUACCCUCUUCUCGCGCGUCUGAGUCUCACUAUUCAUCACGUUCUCAGUCGCAACAUUGUCGUCGCAUCUGGCCAGCUGAGGAGAACAUCGCCAUCUCCACCUGACCCAGUCGAGGAGAGCAUGUUCGUCGCCACCUGACCCAGCCGAGGCAGUAGCGCCAGCGUUACUACAGAGCCCCUUCGCCAACCUUCGCGUCUUCGCCUCUCCGCGUCAUCUCAUCUCGCCUUCACGUCUUCGCUUCUUCGCCUUGUCGCCGAUUUUCACCGUCAGCUCAGCUACUCUUCCUUUCAAAGGGGAGUUAAAAAUGUUAUAAGGGAAAAAGCAACGUGGAAACGGAUAUGGUGUUGAGGGUGCAGAGGAUAAUUAAGAAGUUGAAUAUAAUUGAGUUACAAGUGUUUUAUGGCGGUAACAAUGGCGAAGCCUGUGAUUUGAUAAUGAGGGGUUCUCCUUGUAUGCAAUCAUGUGGCAUUUAUAAAGACACUGAAAUGGUUGCUCAGGAUUUAAAUAAAUCAGAAUUUAUCAUCACUAUCAUCACAGGAUGAAAGAAGACUUGAGAAUUAUAUUUUUUAGUUUUUGAAUAUGUUUGGUUGUUUUAAUGUUUUACAAAUAUAUUUAGUAGAGAUGUUUGUUGCUUAUUGUUCAUUUAAGUAUUUGGAGACAACAAAAAAUAUGUUUGUAAUAACAAUUAGGAAUGAUCUUUAAUUUUUUU